rnacentral:rRNA from 1 species
CCUACGGGGGGCAGCAGUGAGGAAUAUUGGUCAAUGGGCGAGAGCCUGAACCAGCCAAGUCGCGUGAAGGAUGACGGCUCUAUGGUUUGUAAACUUCUUUUAUAUGGGAAUAAAGUGAGGAACGUGUUCCUUUUUGUAUGUACCAUAUGAAUAAGCAUCGGCUAACUCCGUGCCAGCAGCCGCGGUAAUACGGAGGAUGCGAGCGUUAUCCGGAUUUAUUGGGUUUAAAGGGUGCGUAGGUGGGUAAUUAAGUCAGCGGUGAAAGUUUGUGGCUCAACCAUAAAAUUGCCGUUGAAACUGGUUGACUUGAGUAUAUUUGAGGUAGGCGGAAUGCGUGGUGUAGCGGUGAAAUGCAUAGAUAUCACGCAGAACGCCGAUUGCGAAGGCAGCUUACUAAACUAUAACUGACACUGAAGCACGAAAGCGUGGGUAUCAAACAGGAUUAGAUACCCUUGUAGUC